rnacentral:rRNA from 1 species
AUUGAACGCUGGCGGCAGGCCUAACACAUGCAAGUCGAACGAGUGGCGGACGGGUGAGUAACGUCUGGGAAACUGCCGGAUGGAGGGGGAGAACUACUGGAAACGGUAGCUAAUACCGCAUACCAUCAGAUGUGCCCAGAUGGGAUUAGCUUGUUGGUGGGGGAACGGCUCACAAAGGCGACGAUCCCUAGCUGGUCUGAGAGGAUGACCGGCAACACUGGAACUGGAACACGGUCCGGACUCCUACGGUAGGCAGCAGUGGGGAAUAUUGCACAAUGGGCGCAAGCCUGAUGCAGCCAUGCCGCGUGUAUGAAGAAGGCCUUCGGGUUGUAAAGUACUUUCAGCGGGGAGGCGUUACCCGCAGAGAAAGCACCGGCUAACUCCGUGCCAGCCGCCGCGGUAAUAC